rnacentral:rRNA from 1 species
CCUACGGGUGGCAGCAGUGAGGAAUAUUGGUCAAUGGACGGAAGUCUGAACCAGCCAUGCCGCGUGCGGGAAGACGGCACUAUGAGUUGUAAACCGCUUUUGUACGAGGAUAAACGCAGAUACGUGUCUCUGUCUGAAAGUAUCGUACGAAUAAGCAUCGGCUAACUCCGUGCCAGCAGCCGCGGUAAUACGGAGGAUUCGAGCGUUAUCCGGAUUUAUUGGGUUUAAAGGGUGCGUAGGCGGUCGUAUAAGUUAGCGGUGAAAUCCCGGGGCUCAACUUCGGAAUUGCCGUUGAUACUGGUAGGCUAGAGAGGAGUUGAGGUAGGCGGAAUGUAUGGUGUAGCGGUGAAAUGCUUAGAGAUCAUACAGAACACCGAUUGCGAAGGCAGCUUGCCAAGUUACUUCUGACGUUGAGGCACGAAAGCGUGGGGAGCAAACAGGAUUAGAUACCCCAGUAGUA